AUUGAACGCUGGCGGCAUGCCUCACACAUGCAAGUCGAACGGUAACAGGUUAAGCUGACGAGUGGCGAACGGGUGAGUAAUGUAUCGGAACGUGCCCAGUAGUGGGGGAUAACUGCUCGAAAGAGCAGCUAAUAACGCAUACGACCUGAGGGUGAAAGCGGGGGAUCGCAAGACCUCGCGCGAUUGGAGCGGCCGAUAUCAGAUUAGGUAGUUGGUGGGGUAAAGGCCUACCAAGCCUACGAUCUGUAGCUGGUCUGAGAGGACGACCAGCCACACUGGUACUUGGACACAGCCAAGACUGCUACGGGAGGCAGUAGUGGGGAAUUGUGAACAAUAGAGGCAAUUCUGAUCCAGCCGGUCGGUGUGCGAGAAAAAGGCCUUCGGGUUGUAAACCGCUUUUGUCAGGGAAGAAAAGGAUCUGAUUAAUACCUGGGACUCAUGACGGUACCUGAAGAAUAAGCACCGGCUAACUACGGGCCAGCCGCCGCCGUAAAAC
rnacentral:rRNA from 1 species